GCCCUGUGGUUACUGGAGUCUGUGAUUUCUGUACAGAACUGCAGUUAAAAAUGGCCAAUAUAAAUACUGUGAUUUUAUGCAUGGUGGUUGAGUUUCCUUUUAACCACCAUAGCCCGGUCACAGUAACAGAU